rnacentral:rRNA from 1 species
UACAGAGGCCUCGAGCGUUAGGCGGAAUCACUGGGCUUAAAGCGUGUGUAGGCGGAUGCCUAAGUACCUUGUGAAAUCCCACGGCUCACCCGUGGAACGGCUGGGUAUACUGGGUGUCUUGAGCCACUUAGGGGCUGCCGGAACAAAUGGUGGAGCGGUGAAAUGCGUAGAUAUCGGGAGGAACACCUGUGGCGAAAGCGGCUCACUGGACCACAACUGACGCUGAGGCGCGAAAGCUAGGGGAGCAAACAGG